rnacentral:lncRNA from 1 species
CACCACCUCCACCAUUUCCACCUACACAGAGUCCACCACAGCAAAAUCCAUCGCCGCUUCCGCCGGUUCUAUAAGACCGAGCCUCAUUUCCAGUUCCACGAUAUGUACAUCAACAACAAAUUUCAAUCAGAUCUACUAUACCACCAUCUACAACCAUCACCAUAAUCAACCACCAUACCAGAUCUACCACCAUAUUAUUAAAUUCUUCACCAACAACACCAUCUAAUUCUAUUACCAUCCAUCAUCAUACACCAUCCGCCUGCCAUCAUACACCAAGCAGCUUGCUUAGCUCCUCAUCAUCAUCAUACACCAUACCAGCUUGCUUGCUUAGCUCCUCACCACUCUUGUCUUCUUGUUCUUUCGCCGCAUUCCCAGCCAAAUCUAACACCUGCCAUUUCCAAAUUCAUAUCAAUAAUCAAUCACUCCAUAUCUAAAUCUAAAAAUAGAGAGAGAGGAAGAGGAGGGAGAGGUUUACCUCUGCAGAUCUAAAUCUAGAAAUAGAGAGAGAGAAAGAGGAGGUGGAUCAGGGGUCGCGGGAAAGGGAACGGCAGCCCAAAAUUUUCAUAUCUGCCAGAUCUAGGGUUAACAGAGAACAAAUCAGGAUCCGUAACCCCAAACCAGAGGCCCAAAUCAAGUCUUCCACACCAGAUCAUAAGCCCGAAUUCGUCGACGACGAUGGAGAAAAGAUGGGGACUUGCAG